UACAGAGGGUGCGAGCGUUAAUCGGAAUUACUGGGCGUAAAGUGUGCGCAGGCGGCCGCGCAAGUCGAGUGUGAAAGCCCCGGGCUUAACUUGGGAAUUGCGCUCGAAACUACGUGGCUGGAGUGUGGCAGAGGAAGGUGGAAUUCCAGGUGUAGCGGUGAAAUGCGUAGAGAUCUGGAGGAACACCGAUGGCGAAGGCAGCCUUCUGGGCCAACACUGACGCUCAUGCACGAAAGCGUGGGGAGCAAACAGG
rnacentral:rRNA from 1 species